AUUGAACGCUGGCGGCAUGCUUUACACAUGCAAGUCGAACGGUAACAGGUUAAGCUGACGAGUGGCGAACGGGUGAGUAAUGCAUCGGAACGUGCCCGAUCGUGGGGGAUAACGCAGCGAAAGCUGCGCUAAUACCGCAUACGAUCUGUGGAUGAAAGCGGGGGAUCGCAAGACCUCGCGCGAUUGGAGCGGCCGAUAUCAGAUUAGGUAGUUGGUGGGGUAAAGGCUCACCAAGCCGACGAUCUGUAGCUGGUCUGAGAGGACGACCAGCCACACUGGGACUGAGACACGGCCCAGACUCCUACGGGAGGCAGCAGUGGGGAAUUUUGGACAAUGGGCGCAAGCCUGAUCCAGCAAUGCCGCGUGCAGGAAGAAGGCCUUCGGGUUGUAAACUGCUUUUGUCCGGAACGAAACGGUCCGGGCUAAUACCCUGGGCUAAUGACGGUACCGUAAGAAUAAGCACCGGCUAACUACGUGCCAGCCGCCGCCGUAA
rnacentral:rRNA from 1 species